rnacentral:rRNA from 1 species
GGAGGUAGUGACAAUAAAUCACAAUGCGGAACUUUUAGUUUUGCAAUUGGAUUGAGAACAAUGUACAAAUGUUAUCGAUAAACAAUUGGAGGGCAAGUCUGGUGCCAGCAGCCGCGGUAAUUCCAGCUCCAAUAGCGUAUAUUAACGUUGUUGCAGUUAAAAAGCUCGUAGUUGAAAUGUGGGAUGAAGUAUAUAAUGAAUUUCUAAUUCAAUUCUAUAUUGAUUCCCCUCUCCAAUUUAUUAUUAUGGGUAUUAAUUUAUUUGUAAUAAGAAUUGGUCAUUUACUGUGAGAAAAUUAGAGUGUUCAAAGCAGGCAUUUGCUUGAAUAGAUUAGCAUGGAAUAAUACUAAAAGGCUUUUAUGGUCGAUUUAAUUGGUUUGUUCAUAAAAGCAAGAUUAAAAGGAACAGCUGGGGGUAUUCAUAUUCAAUAGUUAGAGGUGAAAUUCUCGGAUUUAUGGAAGAUGAACAAGUGCGAAAGCA